rnacentral:rRNA from 1 species
GACGGAAGGUGCAAGCGUUGCUCGGAAUCACUGGGCUUAAAGGGCGCGUAGGCGGCUCGCCAAGUCGGGGGGUGAAAUCUUGCCGCUUAACGGCAAAAGAGCUUCCGAUACUGGCGGGCUGGAGGGGGGAGUAGGGGGUCGCGGAACUUCCGGUGGAGCGGUGAAAUGCGUAGAUAUCGGAAGGAACGCCGGUGGCGAAAGCGGCGCACUGGAUCCCCACUGACGCUGAGGCGCGAAAGCCAGGGGAGCAAACGGG